AAGCCUAGUAGAACAACCUAAACCUCUAAAAAACAAUGUACUUCAUGUAGAGUUCUCAACCUGAGAACUCCAUUUCUGUACCUGAGAAGUGUUGGUCUCAUUCUUUGUUCCAUCACUUUAAGCUGCUGAGGUGUUUAAUGGCUGCAGCUGGUCUCAUCAAGGGAUAUUUAGUCCUUCUGAAAAAUCCCCUCCCUGAUUGCUGUAUCCUUCCAGAAACAUGCAGGAUGCUACAGAGGUGGAGAAUGCAGCUCAUCUUCCACAAAAAGAAGAAUAAGCUGUUUAAGGGCUAUUCCUUUUUAAGAAUAAUACACCCCCGCCCCCCAACAACAACAAAAAGUAAACAGGAGCCCCUAGCAAACUGCUGGAGGAAGGAUUUAUCGCCUCUGAGCGCAGCCAAGAACCGAAGCAGUCAGUCUCAGAUCCCCUCCCACAGAGCUGUACGCUGUGUCAAUACCUCCCUCUGCUGAAAGCUCGACAUUGUUCCUCUCCUGCUUGGCCGCCUUUGCUGUGGCAGAACUUGCGGAGAGCAGAAGGAAUCUGCGACACACACUGGAGCAGCCCUCGCUGCAACACAGCUGCCCUGCCGAGACUGCACCCUCUGGGGAGUGCAGAAACUUCAUCCGUUUGUCCCUCCCCAGCGGGACUGUGUGCAGACUAAAAUCUGAGAUUAGGGAAAGAUUAUAAUUUGGAGUCAGAUGACUUUUAAAAAUACUCUUUCAGGAACUCCUGUGAUGGGAUUCAGUCAUUGUAAAAGGACAAUCCGUUUGAAGACAAUUCUAACUGUGUGUGCCUUACAAAUGAUUUUCCUUCAGUUUUAGUCACUUAACUAGUUUUUGUUCUAGAAAUAGUAAAAUUACUGUGUGGUUUGUGAUCCAUUGUGCUGCAUAAACUACCAUGUAAGACUUUAAGUAUUGUGUUACUCAAACAGAUUGAAUUAUCUUAAUGAUUGGAAAAUCUAUGAAUCAUCUCAACUACAA